rnacentral:snRNA from 1 species
GUGCUUGCUUUGGCAGCACACAUACUAACAUUGGAACGAUACAGAGAAGAUUAGCAUGGCCCCUAUGCAAGGAUGACGUGCAAAUUCAUGAAGUGUUCCAUAGUUUA